UACGUAGGGGGCAAGCGUUGUCCGGAAUUAUUGGGCGUAAAGAGCGCGUAGGCGGUCCGAUAAGUCGGCUGUGAAAGUCAUGGGCUCAACCCAUGAAAGCCGGCCGAUACUGUCGGACUAGAGUCCGGAAGAGGCGAGUGGAAUUCCCGGUGUAGCGGUGAAAUGCGUUGAUAUCAUCAGGAACACCGGAGGCGAAGGCGGCUCACUGGGGGUUAUCUGACGCUGAGGGACGAAAGCCAGGGGAGCGAACGGG
rnacentral:rRNA from 1 species